GAUGAACGCUGGCGGCGUGCCUAAUACAUGCAAGUCGAGCGAACAGACGAGGAGCUUGCUCCUCUGACGUUAGCGGCGGACGGGUGAGUAACACGUGGAUAACCUACCUAUAAGACUGGGAUAACUUCGGGAAACCGGAGCUAAUACCGGAUAAUAUAUUGAACCGCAUGGUUCAAUAGUGAAAGACGGUUUUGCUGUCACUUAUAGAUGGAUCCGCGCCGCAUGAGCUAGUUGGUAAGGUAACGGCUUACCAAGGCGACGAUGCGUAGCCGACGUGAGAGGGUGGUCGGCCACACUGGAACUGAGACACGGUCCAGACGCCUAAGGGAGGCAGCAGUAGGGAAUCUGACGCAAUGGGCGAAAGCAUGACGGAGCAACGCCGCGUGAGUGAUGAAGGUCUUCGGAUCGUAAAACUCUGUUAUGAGGGAAGAACAAAUGUGUAAGGAACUAUGCACGUCUUGACGGUACCUAAUCAGAAAGCAACGGCUAACUACGUG
rnacentral:rRNA from 1 species